CCGUAGCCAUUUUCAGCUCAAG
rnacentral:sRNA from 1 species